GCUCGCUUCAGCAGCAUAUACCAAAAUUGGAAUGAUACACAGAAGAUUAGCAUGGCCCCUGCACAAGGAUGACAUGCAAAUACAUGUAGUGUUCCAUAUUAAA